rfam:Myotis davidii contig317830, whole genome shotgun sequence.
GCCAGUGUGCUCAGUGGUUAGAGUGUUGGCCCGCACACCAAAGGGUCACAGGUUCAAUUCCUGGUCAAGGGCA